UCGGCCCUACGGGACGCAGCAGUGGGGAAUAUUGCACAAUGGGGGAAACCCUGAUGCAGCAACGCCGCGUGAGUGAAGAAGUAUUUCGGUAUGUAAAGCUCUAUCAGCAGGGAAGAAGAAAGACGGUACCUGACUAAGAAGCCCCGGCUAACUACGUGCCAGCAGCCGCGGUAAUACGUAGGGGGCAAGCGUUAUCCGGAUUUACUGGGUGUAAAGGGAGCGUAGACGGCCAGACAAGUCUGAAGUGAAAAUCCAGCGCUUAACGUUGGAAGUGCUUUGGAAACUGCCGGGCUAGAGUGCAGGAG
rnacentral:rRNA from 1 species